rnacentral:rRNA from 1 species
ACUCCUACGGGAGGCAGCAGUGGGGAAUAUUGCACAAUGGGCGCAAGCCUGAUGCAGCCAUGCCGCGUGUGUGAAGAAGGCCUUCGGGUUGUAAAGCACUUUCAGUCGUGAGGAAGGUAGUGUAGUUAAUAGCUGCAUUAUUUGUACGUUAGCGACAGAAGAAGCACCGGCUAACUCCGUGCCAGCAGCCGCGGUAAUACGGAGGGUGCGAGCGUUAAUCGGAAUUACGUGGCGUAAAGCGCAUGCAGGUGGUUGUUAAGUCAGAUGUGAAAGCCCGGGGCUCAACCUCGGAAUAGCAUUUGAAACUGGCAGACUAGAGUACUGGUAGAGGGGGUAGGAAUUUCAGGUGUAGCGGUGAAAUGCGUAGAGAUCUGAAGG